rnacentral:tRNA from 1 species
GCGGGCGUAGCUCAGCUGGUAGAGCACCACCUUGCCAAGGUGGACGUCGCGAGUUCGAAUCUCGUCGCCCGCUCCA